UCAGGUCUGUCCAUUUGGGGUCCAGCUGACCAAAGCAGGUUGACACAGACCCUUUCUUGUUCCUCCGCUGACCCCAGGAGUGACAGUGUUCCCCGUUGGAAUUGGGGAUCGGUAUGAUGAGGCCCAGCUGAGGAGGUUGGCAGGUCCAAAUGCUGGCUCCAAUGUGCUAAGGCUUCAGCGAAUCGAAGACCUCUCCGCUGUGGCCACCCUGGGAAAUUCCUUCUUCCACAAGCUGUGCUCUGGGUUCGUUAGAGUUUGCGUGGAUGAGGAUGGGAACGAGAAGAGGCCUGGGGAUGUCUGGACUUUGCCAGACCAGUGCCACACAGUGACUUGCCUGCCAGAUGGCCAGACCUUGCUGAAGAGUCACCGUGUCAACUGUGACCGGGGGCCAAGGCCUUCAUGCCCCAAUGGCCAGCCCCCUCUCAGGGUGGAGGAGACCUGUGGCUGCCGCUGGACCUGCCCCUGUGAGUCCAUUGCUUCACCAGCCUGGAUGGUGUUAUAGGGGCAGUGCUUUCAGCAUGGCCUUGCAGAGAGGAAGACCAGAAGGCCCUUUCCCUCCUCACUACAUGCAAAAUGCUCCCUUCACCCAUGUUCCCUCCCUCUUGUG